GAUGAACGCUGGCGGCGUGCCUAAUACAUGCAAGUCGAGCGAACAGACGAGGAGCUUGCUCCUCUGACGUUAGCGGCGGACGGGUGAGUAACACGUGGAUAACCUACCUAUAAGACUGGGAUAACUUCGGGAAACCGGAGCUAAUACCGGAUAAUAUAUUGAACCGCAUGGUUCAAUAGUGAAAGACGGUUUUGCUGUCACUUAUAGAUGGAUCCGCGCCGCAUUAGAUAGUUGGUAAGGUAACGGCUUACCAAGGCAACGAUGCGUAGCCGACCUGAGAGGGUGAUCGGCCACACUAGAACUCAGACACGGUCCAGACUACUACGGGAGGGAGCAGUAGGGAAUCUUCCGCAAUGGGCGAAAGCCUGACGGAGCAGCGCCGCGUGAGUGAUGAAGGUCUUCGGAUCGUAAAACUCUGUUAUUAGGGAAGAACAAAUGUGUAAGUAACUAUGCACGUCUUGACGGUACCUAAUCAGAAAGCCACGGCUAACUACGUG
rnacentral:rRNA from 1 species